CUGCUGGACAUUUACUGACGCUGAGGUACGAAGGCUAGGGUAGCGAAAGGNAUUAGAUACCCCUGUAGUCNUAGCAGUAAACGGUGCGCGCUUGGUGUAGGAGGACUCGACCCNUUCUGUGCCGGAGCUAACGCGUUAAGCGCGCCGCCUGGGGAGUACGGUCGCAAGACUAAAACUCAAAGAAAUUGACGGGGACCCGCACAAGCGGUGGAGUAUGUGGCUUAAUUCGAUGCAACGCGAAGAACCUUACCAAGGCUUGACAUGUAUUGCUAAGCACGUGAAAGCGUGUGACCCUUCGGGGACCUUACACAGGUGCUGCAUGGCCGUCGUCAGCUCGUGUCGUGAGAUGUUUGGUUAAGUCCAGCAACGAGCGCAACCCCUGUGAAUAGUUGCCAGCACGUAAUGGUGGGGACUCUAUUCAGACUGCCCAGGUCAACUGGGAGGAAGGUGGGGAUGACGUCAGGUCAGUAUGGCCCUUACGCCUUGGGCUGCACACGUACUACAAUGCCCAGUACAAUGAGAACCGAUACCGCGAGGUGGAGGAAAUCUGCAAAACUGGGCCCAGUUCGGAUUGGAGGCUGCAACUCGCCUCCAUGAAGUUGGAAUCGCUAGUAAUGGCACAUCAGCUACGGUGCCGUGAAUACGUUCCCGGGUCUUGUACACACCGCCCGUCACAUCAUGGAAGCCGAUCGCACCCGAAGUAUCUGCGCUAACUAUUUAUAGAAGCAAGGUCCUAAGGUGUAGUUGGUAACUAGGAUGAAGUCGUAACAAGGAGCCG
rnacentral:rRNA from 1 species